rnacentral:lncRNA from 1 species
AAAUAAAACAAAAAGUGCAGGAGUGUGGCAUACGGGUCUUUUAGAACCCAAAAUCCCAAAAUCCAUAAUGUCCUUUACUUCUUCAAUCUGCUUCUCCCUUGGCUUGUCUUCUAUCUUUCUUUUGCCCUCUUGAUGAUAAUGAACAAGGUUCACGUUCAAGGAUGUUAGGAGGGGGGUCACGGUUGUCAUCGCACACAUCAAGAGGUGAAAACCCUCAUCCUCAUCUUCUCUCACGCGGUGGGCCAGGGGGUGAAAUCCGUAUUCUUCCUUCUUUCCAAUCGGCGGCACUGGAAGUGUACUCACGGUGGUAACGAAACGGGGCUGAUUGUAGCUACAUGAUGCAUCUCCUUCUUCUUCACGAGUUCUUCUUCUCCAAUUCCCUUGCAGUAAAGGGGGAAUCGAAAUCCCUAACUCCAUUUUUAUCAUCUUCGAUGUCGGUUUUGAAUUGAUGGGGGAAGACAAUAAUGUCAAUCCCCUAAGGCUUCUUGACAAGGCUGUGGUCUCGAUGCCCCUACCCCGAAUUCAAAUCGGGUGGUUCACAAUGGCUCCAUCCGAUGGGUUACAGUGGUUCGAGGUUCAGGUAUGCGCCCUAUUCAUUCUGCGCGUUAAUGGGUUCUAUUUGCAUGGCGGUUCAUGGUGGUUCCGAAUCGGCAUAUGCGAGGGGUUUCGGAAAGAAAAUUACCCCUUCUGCUAUUUGAUUUUUUUACAGUACGAAACUGGUUUGUCAUACAUAACCGAUUUAGGCUAAAGAUUAUCCAGAAAUGAACCCUAUGUCUUUAUAUUAUAUCGCUGCAUGGUAUACUUCAUAUUGAUAUAUACGUCUCUGUUGAAGCUGAAUGAAUGAAAAAUAUGCGAUUUUUUUGUAUGAUUUUUAAUUAGAUUUGUACAGAACACGUUAAGAUCCAAAGGGCUAUACUAUUUAGUUCCAGACAUAUUAUGGCUGCUAUGUUAGUAUUGCACAAGUAAAAAAUCAUGGUUUUCUUCAUAUUAGAACUAUCAUAACUAUGCUCAUUAUGUUAUUUGAAUAUAUAAAAAAUCAAUAGGAAGUAAACCCUCGACUUAUGUUAGUGAUAUGAGCAUAAGGAUAUGUGAUCCGCAAUGAGUAAGGUUCAUUUAUGUUUACUAGCACUUGAAUAAAUAGGAUGGGUGACUUACCUUAUUAUGUUUUGUUACCUUAUCCUUCUGCGUGUUGAAUCUUUGUUCCAAGAUGUUCUCUUUUCUCUAUCUUUGUUUUCUGUAUGUUGUGUAAGAUACGCGAACUCUUGACGCCCUCUUACUAUGUAUGCGUAAUCUGGUUUUUUUGUUUUUUGAAACUCAUUUGUGUAUGCUCUCUGUUUUUUUUACUGAAAUCUCUCUGAUUUGUUCCCUCUUGUAUGUGUCGUGUGUUAUGGAUGGUAGUAUGCUUUCUCUGCUUGCUCUUUUAGGCCUCUCUCCUUUUGCUGAGUUGUGACGGGUUAUGUAUAAAUAUAGCUGCCUUGUAUCAAGUGUCUUCUCUCCUUUUUUUUAUUGUAUGGUAUGCCUUUCUCUUUAUACUGGUUGGGGAUUCUAUGUGUUACCUUUUGGAUUGUCAAGAAUAAGAGUAACGUUCCUCAUCCUUUCAUUUUCUGAUUGCUCUAUUUAAAACUUCUCCAUGAAUAUUGCUUUUUAUGAAUAUUGAUGCUUCAAUUUGUAACUGUUUGAUAGUAAAUUUCGGUUUGCCUCUUUGAUGUCCUCCUUGUCCGAUGAUGUCAAUUAUUGCUUUUAAUUUCAAGGGAUAUUAUUAUACAACUUCAGUUAUUAAUCAGUGGGAUUUUAUGCAGGUACUGGUGAUUCUUUGGCUUCCGAUCCUGUCAAAUCUACCCCUUUCCUUUUUCCUUUUGCUGUUUUAUAACCACCUUCGCCACGUACCAUACCCCUAUGUCAGAUUCAUUGUUAAUAACUUUGAGCAGAUUGUGGACCCCAUAAUAUUUGAUUCUAGUGACAUGUCCUUCAAGUGUCAUUAUCCAAUAUAUUUAUGUUGAAUUUGAUUUUCUUAUUGGUUAAGGAUAAACGUCACUAUUUGUAAUUAGCUGGCAUGGGAGCUCUGAUUGGUAUAAAAAUGCUUGGGGUCUUGAGUUUUGUUGUAAAUAAUGCUCUGUUACAACCAGCUAGUUUUGUAGACAAUGUAUGGACUUUGCUAUUAUUAUAAUUGAUCCUCAAAACAAAACAAACAUUUCAAAUAAUGGUGACUUUUGGUUUCUUUAACUGAAUGAGGGGUAAUGAAAUCCUUUCUGGUCGUAGUAAAGUUAUGCGCUCAAU